rnacentral:sRNA from 1 species
CUGACAGCCCCCGAGAGUGAACUCUUUUAUUUAUCCACAAAAGAGGCACAGCUUAGCCAGGGGCAGUGCAAGCUUCCUCCCAUGGUGCCUUGCCAAUGUUGUUCCAGACUUGACUUAGCAUGGAGCUCUCUCUAGGGAUGAAAGUCUCUCCAGGCCUGUUCAGUCCUCAAACUCC